ACAUUGAAACACUAGUUCUCAUAUGAUCACCAAAGUUAAGCAACAUCAAGCUUGAUCAAUACCUAGAUGGGUGGCCACUUGGGAAUACUAGGUACU